AAUACAGAGGUCCCAAGCGUUGUUCGGAUUCACUGGGCGUAAAGGGUGCGCAGGUGGUCGGGUAAGUCUGAUGUGAAAUCCCGCAGCUUAACUGCGGAAUGGCAUUGGAUACUAUUCGGCUAGAGGGUUGGAGGGGGGACUGGAAUUCUCGGUGUAGCAGUGAAAUGCGUAGAUAUCGAGAGGAACACCAGUGGCGAAGGCGAGUCCCUGGACAACUCCUGACGCUGAGGCACGAAAGCUAGGGGAGCAAACAGGA
rnacentral:rRNA from 1 species